rnacentral:lncRNA from 1 species
UUGGCUGCAGGCCAAUACUUACAAACACUUUUAUAAAUAUUCAUAAAUACUUAUAAAUACUUUGAUAAAAUAAGGAGAACCUUCCUGAAUUCUUCAAAGUACUAAACCUGUCUUGCGCAAGACCAGUUUUAAACUCACCCCAGCUACUCCCCUGCUACAGCAGAUGUCGAAACUCUAUAACAUAAGCACUUGUUGUGAUAAAAUUUUAGAGAGUUAUUAAGCUUGAAAAACAAUAAAAAGUUACAAGGACUUUUGAAGAAAUUAGUUUUUUGUUUGUUUGUUAAAGGAUGAGGGAAACUGGCGGUGUAGCCAAAAGAGGUUGGAAGUGACACUGCCCGCUGCAUCGCGAGUUCCAGAUUCCCUUCUCGGGUCCUGUGUUAUUUGUCAUUCUUGAGAGAUGCCAGGCAAGAGCAGAGAACAAGAGAACAAGUUUGUGAACUUCUUGUCACCAACAGACAACUGAGACCCAAACAAAUGUCAGUGUUACUCUGAGAAGAAAAUAAUGGAGUGAUCCCCAAGAAAAAAAGCUCUGCAUAAUAUCA